rnacentral:rRNA from 1 species
AGCAGUAGCCACGGUAAGACAGAGGAUGCAAGCGUUAUCCGGAAUUAUUGGGCGUAAAGCGCGCGUAGGCGGUUUUUUGAGUCUGAUGUGAAAGCCCACGGCUCAACCGUGGAGGGUCAUUGGAAACUGGAAAACUUGAGUGCAGAAGAGGAAAGUGGAAUUCCAUGUGUAGCGGUGAAAUGCGCAGAGAUAUGGAGGAACACCAGUGGCGAAGGCGACUUUCUGGUCUGUAACUGACGCUGAUGUGCGAAAGCGUGGGGAUCAAACAGGAUUAGAGACCCCAGUAGUCCCUGUCUCUUAUAC